GGCGGCGUGCUUAACACAUGCAAGUCGAACGAAAAUACCAAGCUUGCUUGGUUGAUUAGUGGCGAACGGGUGAGUAACACGUGAGUAACCUGCCCCUUACUUUCCUGGAUAACUGCUCGAAAGGGUAGCUAAUACGGGAUAUUCUGACCUGCCUGCAUGGGUUGGUUUGGAAAGGUUGUUUUUCUGGUAAGGGAUGGGCUCGCGGCCUAUCAGCUUGUUGGUGGGGUGAUGGCCUACCAAGGCUUUGACGGGUAGCCGGCCUGAGAGGGUGGACGGUCACACUGGGACUGAGAUACGGCCCAGACUCCUACGGGAGGCAGCAGUGGGGAAUAUUGCACAAUGGGCGCAAGCCUGAUGCAGCGACGCCGCGUGAGGGAUGAAGGCCUUCGGGUUGUAAACCUCUUUCGUCAGGGAACAAGGCACUGCUUUUUUGGUGGUGUUGAGGGUACCUGGAUAAGAAGCGCCGGCUAACUACGUGCCAGCAGCC
rnacentral:rRNA from 1 species